GAUGAUAUAGAAAUAAAUAUAAAUUUUAAAAAAAUAUUUACAUAAAUUUAAAUUUUUAAGAAGAGUAUUCAUGCAAAAAAAAUUCUAAUAUAUAUAUAGUAGAAUCCCCAAUAUUGCCUAGAGAGCAUCAAUCUUUUGUUUUGGUCACCGGUCAUUGGUCACAGCACAGUGCUCGUCACUGAAUAGUUCUAGCAAUUCAAGGAAUGAACCUGUCUGGCCUUGUUGGAUGAUCACACAUCAAUUCCUGCAGUUCAUGAAAAGAAGAAAUAUGACAAAAGAAAAAGAUGAUGAUAGAUUAAGAGGAGGUCACCCAAUUUCAGCCUGAAAUCAAGGGGGCAAUUAUAAAAUCAUUAGAAAAAAGGUCACCACCAGAAAGUGACUUGCAAUAUUGAACUUAAAAUAGUAGCUAAGAAUCAACUUGAAGCCAAGUCAAGCUCACUGUUCCAAAUAGUUGAGUCGCAACGACAGGA
rnacentral:lncRNA from 1 species